UGGGCCAUUGAUCUCACCCCUAACACUGACAUACUGCCCCUAGGCUCAUAUCUAACAAGUUUGGUUAUAUCCCGUUUCCCUUUCAAACCUAGUUUAAAGCCCUUUCAACAAGCCCCACUAACUACUGGGCUAGAAUCCAUUCCCUCCCCCCCUUUGAAACAGGUGGACUCCAUCUGUUGCCAGCAGGCCUGAUGCUGAAUAAAGCUUUGCAUGAUAAAAAAUAAUAAUAAUAAUAAUAAAAAUUCCUCUGACUGCACCAGCCUCUUAGCCAUGUGUUGCUCAGGUGGCUUUUCCUGUUUCUCACAAUAUUUUUCCCUGCUACUGAAGGGAUUGAAGAAAACACCACCUGAGGUCUCACUUUAUAUAAACAGGUUUUCUAAGAAAAACACUCUAUUAGACAUUUGUGAUUUCAUGAGAUCUUUACAGGCUGUUCUGGAACAAAAGAUCCUGAUGAGGGCACAGAUUCUGUCACUUCUUAAUUAAAAGUAACAGCAAAUGGAGAUUCUUUAGUCUUACAGUAAUUCAACCGUUCAUUUAAAACUCUUGUUUGAAGCCAUUUAAUCUACGAAGCACAGAUGCUGUUCAUCAUCCAGUGUUCUCAUGCAAAAUAACUCAUGUUGGUAGUGAGAUAUAUCCAGGAAAAAAAAAUAUCCAGCACUGACACAAAGAUACAAGAACACUGAAUAAUUCAGAAUUGUGCCUUAGAAGAUCCAAAUCAAACAAAAACUUCCAGUUCUUGCUGUGAAUUACAGUCCAUGUUUCUGCAUACAUUCUAAACUACAGUGAGUUUUUCAAUCUGUUUACUAAUGUAAGAUACAUCAACCGACCUCCCAGCACAGAAAGUGUAUUUAAAAUGUCAUGCAUAGUAACUAACUAUGGAAUGAAAAAAUCUUUAUGCAUAUUCUCAGCAAGUGAGAAACCCAUGUUUUCAUUGGCCUGUAUCAUGCAUGCUAAGUGAGGAACAGUUUUAUGAAGAGAAAAUAAGCAACCAUGUAUGCACAGUAAAGCAGAAGACCUUUUAGUAAUGACCUGCAGUCAUACCAGAUUGAAAUUCUGUUCUCUGUUCUAUUAUUAUCCACAAUUCCAAGUCAUUAUUCUACUUACUUUUAUGAUGUUCAGUAAGAGGAGGUCAUCUUUCACCCUGAACUGCUGUAUAUCUCCUGCAGGUAAUUUCUGUUUUUCCUGAGUAUUCUUUCAUUCCCUGCCACUCACAAUACCAUUGCUUAUAUUACAUAUAGUAAAGCUUUCCAGGGUUAGAGAACCCAAGUAAAGAUCCUGGCAGUAGAUAGAUCUUUCAUAUAAUGUAAAUCUGGUUCUGUCAAAGUUUUACAGUUGAUUAGACAAAAACUUAGCUAAUUUCUGCUCAUGGCUCAUGGUAUUUUUUUUCUUAUUUUGAUAUCUAGUGGCUAUUAUUCCUUAGUUUUAUCCAAAAAGCAAACUAUUUCUGCAUUUAUUGGUAUCUGUAGUUCUUGCUGACUCUUCUUUUCCUUAUAAAGCUUCAGUAGGUUAUUAACAGUAAGAUGCAGAGAGUAAGCGAACCAUUAGCUGAGAAAGUUAAUUUUAAAAAAGUGAUGGAAAGUACCUCAAUAAUGUUUUAAAUCUAUGCCAUGAAAUAUAAUGAGAU
ensembl:lncRNA